GAUGAACGCUGGCGGCGUGCCUAAUACAUGCAAGUCGAGCGAACAGACGAGGAGCUUGCUCCUCUGACGUUAGCGGCGGACGGGUGAGUAACACGUGGAUAACCUACCUAUAAGACUGGGAUAACUUCGGGAAACCGGAGCUAAUACCGGAUAAUAUAUUGAACCGCAUGGUUCAAUAGUGAAAGACGGUUUUGCUGUCACUUAUAGAUGGAUCCGCGCCGCAUUAGCUAGUUGGUAAGGUAACGGCUUACCAAGGCAACGAUGCGUAGCCGACCGGAGAGGGGGAUCGGCCACACUGGAACUGAGCCACGGCCCAGACUCCUACGGGAGGCAGCAGUAGGAAAUCUGCCGCAAUGGGCGAAAGCCUGACGGAGCAACGCCGCGUGAGUGAUGAAGGUCUGCGGAUCGUAAAACUCUGUUAUUAGGGAAGAACAAAUGUGUAAGUAACUAUGCACGUCUUGACGGUACCUAAUCAGAAAGCCACGGCUAACUACGU
rnacentral:rRNA from 1 species